rnacentral:sRNA from 1 species
UUGCAGGAGCUCCUCCUCACCGCGGGCGC